rnacentral:rRNA from 1 species
GACGAACGCUGGCGGCGUGGAUUAGGCAUGCAAGUCGAACGGUAUCAUCCUUUCGGGGGUGAGAGAGUGGCGAACUGGUGAGUAACACGUAGGUUAUCUACCCUCAAGACGGGGACAACCCAGGGAAACUUGGGCUAAUACCGGAUGUGAGCAACUUUUAGUUGUUUGAAAGGUGGCGUAAGCUGUCGCUUGGGGAUGAGCCUGCGUCCUAUUAGUUAGUUGGUGAGGUAACGGCUCACCUAGGCAAUGAUAGGUAGGCGGCCUUAACGGGUGGUCGCCCACACUGGGAUUGAGAUACGGCCCAGACUCCUACGGGAGGCAGCAGUCGAGAAUAGUCUACAAUGGUCGGAAGACUGAUAGUGCGACGCCGCGUGAACGAUGAAUCCCUUCGGGGUGUAAAGUUCUUUUAUAUGUGAGCAGUGCUUCUUAUAUUUAACAGUAUGGGGAAGAGAUAUUAGCAUAUGAAUAAGCAACGGCUAACUCCGUGCCAGCAGCCGACGGUAAACUCGU